rnacentral:rRNA from 1 species
GAUGAACGCUGGCGGCGUGCCUAAUACAUGCAAGUCGAGCGAACAGACGAGGAGCUUGCUCCUCUGACGUUAGCGGCGGACGGGUGAGUAACACGUGUAUAACCUACCUAUAAGACUGGGAUAACUUCGGGAAACCGGAGCUAAUACCGGAUAAUAUAUUGAACCGCAUGGUUCAAUAGUGAAAGACGGUUUUGCUGGCACGUAUAGAUGGAUCCGCGCCGCAUUAGCUAGUUGUUAAGGUAACGGCUUACCAAGGCAACGAUGCGUAGCCGACCUGAGGGGGUGAUAGGCCACCCUGGAACUGAGACACGGUCCAGACUCCUACGGGAGGGCGCAGUCGGCAAUCUUACGCAAUAGGCGAAAGCCUGACGGAGCAACGCCGCGUGAGUGAUGAAGGUCUUCCGAUCGUAAAACUCUGUUACUAGGGAAGAACAAAUGUGUAAGUAACUAUGCCCGUCUUGACGGUACCUAAUCAGAAAGCCCCGGCUAACUACGUG